rnacentral:rRNA from 1 species
CCUACGGGAGGCAGCAGUGAGGAAUAUUGGACAAUGGGCGCAAGCCUGAUCCAGCCAUGCCGCGUGCAGGAAGAAGCAUCUAUGGUGUGUAAACUGCUUUUGUACAGGAAGAAACACUCCCUCGUGAGGGAGCUUGACGGUACUGUAAGAAUAAGGACCGGCUAACUCCGUGCCAGCAGCCGCGGUAAUACGGAGGGUCCGAGCGUUAUCCGGGAAUCAUUGGGUUUAAAGGGUCCGUAGGCGGUUUAAUAAGUCAGUGGUGAAAUCUGGUCGCUCAACGAUCAAACGGCCAUUGAUACUGUUAGACUUGAAUUAUAAGGAAGUAACUAGAAUAUGUAGUGUAGCGGUGAAAUGCUUAGAUAUUACAUGGAAUACCAAUUGCGAAGGCAGGUUACUACUUAUGGAUUGACGCUGAUGGACGAAAGCGUGGGGAGCGAACAGGAUUAGAUACCCUGGUAGUCCACGCCGUAAACGAUGGAUACUAGCUGUUCGGAGCAAUCUGAGUGGCUAAGCGAAAGUGAUAAGAUCCCACCUGGGGAGUACGUUCGCAAGAAUGAAACUCAAAGGAAUUGACGGCGNGAGAGAGCGACGACGACGACGAGGGGAGGAGG